rnacentral:rRNA from 1 species
UGCCGCGUGUGUGAAGAAGGCCUUAUGGUUGUAAAGCACUUUAAGCGAGGAGGAGGCUACUUUAGAUUAAUACCUAGAGAUAGUGGACGUUACUCGCAGAAUAAGCACCGGCUAACUCUGUGCCAGCAGCCGCGGUAAUACAGAGGGUGCAAGCGUUAAUCGGAUUUACUGGGCGUAAAGCGCGCGUAGGCGGCUAAUUAAGUCAAAUGUGAAAUCCCCGAGCUUAACUUGGGAAUUGCAUUCGAUACUGGUUAGCUAGAGUGUGGGAGAGGAUGGUAGAAUUCCAGGUGUAGCGGUGAAAUGCGUAGAGAUCUGGAGGAAUACCGAUGGCGAAGGCAGCCAUCUGGCCUAACACUGACGCUGAGGUGCGAAAGCAUGGGGAGCAAACAGGAUUAGAUACCCUGGUAGUCCAUGCCGUAAACGAUGUCUACUAGCCGUUGGGGCCUUUGAGGCUUUAGUGGCGCAGCUAACGCGAUAAGUAGACCGCCUGGGGAGUACGGUCGCAAGACUAAAACUCAAAUGAAUUGACGGGGGCCCGCACAAGCGGUGGAGCAUGUGGUUUAAUUCGAUGCAACGCGAAGAACCUUACCUGGGCUUGACAUAGUAAGAACUUUCCAGAGAUGGAUUGGUGCCUUCG